UAUAAAAAAAAAAAAAUUUAUUCAAAAACGGGAGGAGGAACCCCCCAUUCUCCCUUCUCUCCUCUUCUCCCCCUCUUCUUCUUCUUCCUUUCUCCAGUGACCGGCUAGCGACCUCCCAAGCGGCUCCCCACCGGCCGGCGAUCCUCCGGCAACGGCCAGACCACUAGAAACGGCGGCAAGAGAGGGAGAAGAGAGAGAAAACGCGCGCAUAGUGGGCAGCGGCUUUCCUGCGCGAUUCCGGCUUCGUCCGACGUCCGAUCGAGGCGAUUCCGGUGGCGUUGGAAAGCUUGUUCCGAGAGCUUUCUUUUGACACCAAUUUUGAAGCAAAUGGAAGUCGGAUGAGUGAGAUAUGGAGGAGAGAAGUUUCAGGUUUUUCAAGCUUUUUCGUCAGAUCUACGACGAUCCGACUGUUGGAUCGACGAUCUGAGACCACUUAUGGACUGAGGAAGAGGAGAGGAACAUGGUGGUAUGAUCAGAUCCGGCAAAUGUCGCCGGCGACCGGCGGCCGACCACUGUGCGCGGUGGUUCCGGCGGUGGCUCCGGUGGGCUAUGGAGAUGAUUCGACUUCCAGAGGCUUCCUCAUAAAUUUUUGGAAUUUUUGAGACACAGAUAAACUUCGGGUGAUCGAUGUCAGCUAUUUUUCUGCAUCCAGCAGCCACAAUAGUCAUCGGUGUACUGCCACAGGAGGAGAUAUUUUUCAGAAUAACUUGUCCCUUUCCUCACAGGUUAUGAAAAGAUUACUUAAUUGUAUUAUUAUUAUCUAAAUUUGUAAUUUAGAACUCCGCAUGUACUAGUAGUAGCAUUAAUCCUGUCAGGGAUUGCAUGAACUUAAGUUUUUGUAUUAACAAAUGAAAAUUUUUUAUGAGUUUUUAAAUAGUUUGUAAAUGGUGUAACAGGGUUGAGCUGGGCUCCCCUAAUUUUAGUUUCUGAUAAUUACUGGGCUAAUUUGGCCUGAAAUAAAGUUAUAACAGCUUAAUUUAAAUUAUUUUAUAUGCAUAUUGGGCCUAAAUUAUGGGCCUACUCAUGGGUUGAGGAAUAGUUAGGCUUACUACCGGCCUCGGGGGCUUUAGGCUGGCCCAGGUUCUAGUGCCGGUCCGGCCCAUAGGUUGGGUCGUGACAAAGUUGGUAUCAGAGCUUAGGCUCUAGAUUCAUGGGAAAUAAAAUACUUGGGAGUGUAAAAGGAGUCUUGUUAGGAUGUUACAUGCGGAGUAUAGGAUUCUGUUUCGUCUUUUUCUGUAAUUCCUUGCUUCUAGAUUCUGCGUUAUACCUCGGGAAAUAUAAGAGUACCUCAGUUAGUGUCUUAAUUUUCAUGGAGUACAUAGAAAUGUGAAACAAAGUUAGCAGACAUGUUGAGGUCUGUCAUGAGGAUACGUACUCCAAGAAAUGUUAUGUUUCUGUCUGUAUGGGUUUAAAUGGUGUGCCCAUUUUGUGUAAGGCACGACUACAUAAAGGUGAGUCUUGAAAGUACAGUUGCCCUAGAUAAGGAUGAGGAUACCACUGCUGGCAGUCAUCAGUGGAUGACCCAGUCAGAAUAAGUUUAUGAUAAUAGAAAAUUCAAGAGAUAUAAGAAAUUGGGAGACCUAGUCUGUCAGGACAUAUCGUAGUAACUAUACAAUGUUCUCGAUGUCUGCUCUGUAACCUGCAGAUUACAGUACUGACAUGAGAUUAUUGUGUAGAGCUGCGUGCAUCCCCGUGGUGCUCCAUAAUGAGGGUGUCUGAGAUGGCUUCUGUUUUGGUACAGUUAUGCCAGAACAGAGUUCUAUAUUUGCAGAAGAGUUGGGAACUCCUAGUUAGGGGUCUAGAGUUAGAAUAUUGAAAGGUCACAGUUGAGUGGUAACUAGAGUCAGUGACUCAGUUACCCUAGCAUGAGCUAGAGUUACAGUAAGAGUUGCCAUCAGACCGGAGGUUUCGGACUAGUUGCAAAGUAAAGGUGACACCUAUAGAGUGAGACCAUCUAGUCUUCGGUAUGGAAUUUUGGAUGGUUUUUGCAGAACGAUAGAUGUUUUGCUUAGAAUUUAGUGAGAAUAGAAUACCUUGUGUGUAUUAGCAAGGUGUAAAGUAUAACUCUACUACCUAGAGAAGGUCGAAACUAUGAAUUUAUGAUUCACAGAGCUAUGAUAUGAUAAGAGAGACAUUAAUUGACAUGGUUUUGAGCAAGGUGGUAAAUGUAGUACCUUUAUUGCAGCAAGUUAGGGUAUAGUCCUAUCUUUUUAGGAGGGAUCGAAGGUUAUUACUAAUAAUGGUGACCAACAAAAUAGUGCCUCAGAUGGGACUGUAGAGUGUGGUAGAGAGUAGUUGGCUCGGGUAUCCUACAUAAGAUACAAGUUCUAUUAUAGGAAUCAUAUAUAAUCAGAUCAAGAUGGAUGUAAAUCCUUUGAAUUGGAUGACGAGUUUGGGUGCCCAGAAUCUUAAGUUUUGGCUAAUUGAGUA